rnacentral:rRNA from 1 species
GACGAACGCUGGCGGCGUGCUUAACACAUGCAAGUCGAACGGAAAGGCCCUGCUUUUGUGGGGUGCUCGAGUGGCGAACGGGUGAGUAACACGUGAGUAACCUGCCCUUGACUUUGGGAUAACUUCAGGAAACUGGGGCUAAUACCGGAUAGGAGCUCCUGCUGCAUGGUGGGGGUUGGAAAGUUUCGGCGGUUGGGGAUGGACUCGCGGCUUAUCAGCUUGUUGGUGGGGUAGUGGCUUACCAAGGCUUUGACGGGUAGCCGGCCUGAGAGGUGACCGGCCACAUUGGGACUGAGAGACGGCCCAGACUGCUACGGGAGGCAGCAGUGGGGAAUAUUGCACAAUGAGCGGAAGCCUGAUGCAGCAACGCCGCGUGCGGGAUGACGGCCUUCGGGUUGUAAACCGCUGUCGCCUGUGACGAAGCGUGAGUGACGGUAAUGGGUAAAGAAGCACCGGCUAACUACGUG